AUGCGGUCGCAACAAUCUGCUCAUUCACCUGCAGGAUGCAAAGAGGUUUAUGACGAGCAACUUACUGAUCGGUAUUUAGGGAUGCCAACGGAUGUUGGGCAGGCAAAGAAUGGUACUUUCAAGUAUCUAAAGGACAGGGUGUGGGAGAAAAUUAAAGGAUGGAUGGAUAAACUUUUGUCAUAUGAGGGGAAGGAGGUGUUAAUCAAGGCAGUGGCUCAGGCUAUACCCGUAUAUUCUAUGUCAUGUUUCAGGCUCCCUAGAGGUAUUUGUGAAAGUAUCACAUCGCUGAUCAGGCAAUUCUGGUGGGGAAGUAAAAGAGGGAAGAGGAAACCAUGCUGGAUAUCUUGGGAUGUAUGCACUAAACCGGAGUAUUUGGGAGGACUUGGCUUUCGAGAUAUUGACCUCUUUAACAUCUCUUUACUGGCUAGACAAGCUUGGCGGAUUAUACACACUCCCUCUACAUUAAGUGCCAGGAUUUUGCAAGCCAAGUAUUACCCUGCCUCGUCCUUUCUUGAGGCCGAGCUAGGCAGCAGGCCCUCGCAAAUAUGGAGAUCUAUCAUAGAAGGGAGAGGAGCUCUAGUGCAAGGUUUGAUUCGGAGGAUCGGAACAGGAGAGGAGACCCGAAUCUGGGACCAAAACUGGCUCCCCCGAUCGGGCCUAAUGAGACCAAUAGCGUGUUUGGCGGUGCAUAGACCAGCACGUGUUGACCCAAGCUCGGCUAAUUGGAAGGAGGACAAGGUUCGUGCGACUUUUCUGCCAUUUGAUGCAAAUGUGAUACUCAAAAUCCCGCUGUGUACUAGAAGAGUCGAUGAUUUUUGGGCUUGGGGAGAGGACGAACGAGGCGUGUUUUCAGUAAGGUCAGUCUACAAAUUUUUGGUGAAAAUGAAACUGCAAGGUGAAGCAUUACUGCAACCGGUCGGAGGACACUCAAACGAGGCAGAAGAAGAAGCAGCUUGGACGUCCCCGUGGCACAUUAAGGUUCCAUCUAAAAUCAAGGUAUUCUUAUGGAGACUAUGCCAUGAAACAAUUCCAACAGCCAGGGUGCUACACCACCGGAAUAUGUCUACUAUGAGUGCGUGCGCUUUUUGUUCUGCGCAAGAUGACUGGAAGCAUGCACUAGUAGAUUGCGUGAUGGCCAGGAGCGUAUGGUAA
rnacentral:rRNA from 1 species